rnacentral:rRNA from 1 species
AGAGUUUGAUCCUGGCUCAGGAUGAACGCUAGCUACAGGCUUAACACAUGCAAGUCGAGGGGCAGCAUUUUAGUUUGCUUGCAAACUAAAGAUGGCGACCGGCGCACGGGUGAGUAACACGUAUCCAACCUGCCGAUAACUCGGGGAUAGCCUUUCGAAAGAAAGAUUAAUAUCCGAUGGUAUAUUAAAACCGCAUGGUUUUACUAUUAAAGAAUUUCGGUUAUCGAUGGGGAUGCGUUCCAUUAGUUUGUUGGCGGGGUAACGGCCCACCAAGACUACGAUGGAUAGGGGUUCUGAGAGGAAGGUCCCCCACAUUGGAACUGAGACACGGUCCAAACUCCUACGGGAGGCAGCAGUGAGGAAUAUUGGUCAAUGGACGAGAGUCUGAACCAGCCAAGUAGCGUGAAGGAUGACUGCCCUAUGGGUUGUAAACUUCUUUUAUAUGGGAAUAAAGUAUUCCACGUGUGGGAUUUUGUAUGUACCAUAUGAAUAAGGAUCGGCUAACUCCGUGCCAGCAGCCGCGGUAAUACGGAGGAUCCGAGCGUUAUCCGGAUUUAUUGGGUUUAAAGGGAGCGUAGGUGGAUUGUUAAGUCAGUUGUGAAAGUUUGCGGCUCAACCGUAAAAUUGCAGUUGAAACUGGCAGUCUUGAGUACAGUAGAGGUGGGCGGAAUUCGUGGUGUAGCGGUGAAAUGCUUAGAUAUCACGAAGAACUCCGAUUGCGAAGGCAGCUCACUAGACUGCAACUGACACUGAUGCUCGAAAGUGUGGGUAUCAAACAGGAUUAGAUACCCUGGUAGUCCACACAGUAAACGAU